GCCGAUGUCAGCUCACUGUGGGGCUCCUUAUCUUUCCAAUCCAUUGUGAAUAAUGGCUUAUUAAAGUAAUGGCUUAUUUGGCCUCAGCAUCGGGCUGGCUCAAGUCAGAGCAGGGAAAGGGUGGGGGCAAUGGGGGAGGAGAGGCAAUGGAUUGGGCAACAUAAUUCCAUGCACGAAACCCACCACGUACAAAGAUGCAACAGUUAUUCAUCUAGAAACUUGCAAACUGCAGCAGGGUCAAGCCUACAAAAAUGAGAUAACGCGGAGCAGAGCAGGUCUCUGGAUCCAGGGAAGUCACAGCCAAGGAAGUGCAUGUGAGAAGCCUAACCCUCAUUUGGACUUGACAGAAAUCACAGGAUCCUAGACUUUGCCAUAAUUGAUGCUAUAAUUGAAUGCAAUUGAUGGGGGUCCUGGCGGGAAUCAGUACAUUUUUGCAUGUGAAAGGACUGUGAAUAAUUGGAAUUAACAGGAAAGGCGAUUGUCUACUUUUGUAGUAAUGGCCACCAGUGAUUCACGCCCUCAGUCUGCAAGUAGCCCCUUCCCACAUUGAGUCUGGGCUUGGCCGUGUGAAUGACUAUGGCUGCCAAUGGGACAUCAGCACAUGCAAUGCAUGCAGAGGCCUGGAGAAACACUCGCUCCUUAGGGCUUGCCCUCUCUUGCUGCUUCCAUGGAGCCCUCCCAUCACUACAUGAAUGAGCCCGGGUUGACCGAUCAGAGGAUGGGAGACUAUGUGGAGAAGAGCCCCAACUGUCCCAGCCAGCCCAGCUGAGGGUCUCAAAGAUGUCACUGAGUUCCACUCCAGCCCAACUGUCUCAAACUAGAAGAAAUACUAGUUAUUCCAUAGGAUCAUUUGAUUGUGUUAAACCAUUAAGUUUUGAGAUGGUUUUUUAAGGCGGAGAAAGCUAACCAAUAUGGAAAGGCUCAAAUGUAGAUAAAUCCAGCAACAGAUGGAAGACAGGGGAGGUGACAUUGAGGUAGCAAAAUCUCUGGAGCCAGUUGUGUGGGCAGUUUCCUAAGAAAACCUAAAGCAGUUCACAGAGGGUGACCCUACUAUGGCCAAUGGAGAGCCACAAAAAAGAAAAUGCCAGAAGUCAAGUUCAAUGGGAAAAUUGAAGAUGGAAACUGAAGCAUGAACAGUAAGUUUGGAAGUCCGUGGGAUUAAGAAGAGACCAAGUGGUGGGAGAAAUGAAUGGAUUAGACCAAGCGAUUCAGAAAUAAAGCUUUGGGCAAGAGGAAGUCAUAGGUCCUCCUUUUAUGAAGCAACUAAUAAUGCCUAUACCCUACUGUACAGCAAUUAAAUCUGAAUCUCUGAGAGUAGGGUCUAGGUAUUUUUUAAGCAUUGAAAAAAAGCUUUGAAAGAGUAUUUAACAAGCUUCCCAGGUGAUUGGAUUAUGGAGUAGGAGAAGACUCUGGAAGAGAUGAUGCAAUCCCUAGAGCAAGACCCAUUAGGUUUCUGAGAAAUGAGUAAAUACAGAAUCGCUCAGAAUCUCCUCAUUUUCAUAUAUUUGUGAUUGAUCUAAACUGCUAUUAACCUCAAAGAUCAGUGUUAGGACUUGAUGACUAAUGGCUACUUCUGAGUCAAAAAUGAAAUAGCACUUAUUUUCAUAACGUAAUAAAAUUCAAGUGCACAUUAACUCAGAUCCCAUGAAUCAGCGAAUAUGAUCAUUUGAACAGAGCCUGAAGUUAUCUAUGGAAAUAUAUUUUGCAUAAGUUAUCACACAAGAUUUCAAGAUUUUGGUAGAAAGGCUUAAACUAACGAAAAAGAAAUAUCUUAAAUGAGUAGGCCAGCCUGAUAACUGAGACAAUAAGGAGUAGUGGGGAGCUAUGACAAAUCAGAUUUAGGGAGGAGGCUUUGUGCCAGCCAAAAGAAAAGAAUUGAAGGCCAGUUUAGCCCACAGGCUGCCAGUUUAUGGAACUCUGAGUCAUAAUAGAAACCAUUAUAAUAGAGAAGUAAACAUAAGUAUAGAAUUACAAUAAAUGAAGGGUCAGGAAAGGAUUUGAAGAAGGAAGGAGCAUGGAAAUAUUUUAAAGGCUGAGCAGUUUUUUUGACAUCUUUAAAUUUAAUUUUUAAAUUUAAAAAACUUUUCAUUUGGAAAUGAUUUUAUUGACAAACAUUCUUAAAAAAUUGUACAAAGGCUUUCUCCAUAUUCUUCACCAAGAUUCUCCAAAUGUUGACAUCUAACAAGACUACGUACAAUGAUUAAGAUCAGGAAUUUUUCUCUGACAUAAUACUAUUAUCUAAUCUAUAGGCCUUAUUCAAAUAUCAUUAAUUAUCCUAAUGAUCUUUUUUUCUGGCUCAGGACCUAAUCCAGGAUCACACAUUGCAUUUGGUUGUUAAGUUUCCUUUAAUCUGGAAGAGGUUUUUGUGUGUGUGUUAUUGGUAACCUUAAUAUUUUCAAACAAUUUUGGUCAGUUAUUUCACGAAAUGGCACUGAAGUUGGGUUUGUCUAAUGUUUGCUCACAAUUUAAAUUUGGGUUAUACAUUUUUGGAAUAAAUAUUACAGAGUGAUGCUGUAUCUUAGUGCAUUGUAAUCAGAUAUAUGAUGCCAAUUUGGACCAUUAUAGGCCAUGAAAAUUUUGAUCACUAAAUUAGCAUGGAGCCUGCCAUGUUUCCCUACUAUAAUGUCACUACUGUUUCCUUUGUAAUUAGUAUAAAACUUAUGAAGUGAAAGCUAACCAAUACAGGGAGGCUCAAAUAGGGAUAAACCCAGCAGAUAGAAGAUGAGGGAGGUGACAUAUUUUGACAUAUGUAAAUAUCUUGUCAGUCAUCAUAGUUUUGUUCACUAAUUUUAAAAUUUAUUGGUGAAUCUUGCCUAAAGCAAUUAGGGUGGUAUUUGCCAGAUGGUGAUUUUCUAACUCCAUUAUUUCUUUUAUAUUUAUUAGUUGGAAUUCUACUGUACUUCUUCUUCUCUCCCAUUUAUUUGUUUGUUAAUAUCAGUAUAGUCUCGCACAUUCUUACUUUAUUCCUUGGAUUAUAAUCCAUUACUAGCAUUAUCUUAUUGCUCAAAUUGUCCCAGAUUUGACUGUAGGGAGUUUCUUCAAGUAGCCUCCUGUGUUCUUUUGACAUAUUCCCAAUCUUUUUGUGGGUAUAUUUUCUUAUUUCUGGCAUUAUAAGACAAUUCAUGCCCAUCUUGUACUUACCCUGUCUCAGACCUAGAAUCAGCCACUUUCUCCGAGAGACCUAGUAACUUUUAUUGGUAAAUGGUAUUAAGAAACCAAGAUCUGGGCAAUUGGUAUGUUAAUUGGUAUUGGGUGUCAUUGCUUCUAGGCUCUCUCUGCAGACAGAAAUAAGAAAUACAUGUGGGAACACACAUGCAUAUAUUUAUAGAUGCAUAUUUCUAUAUGUAUCUAUAAAUUAAAAGCCAUGAGUUCAUGCUGAUACCUCCAAUUCUAAUUCAACACUACAGAGUUCAUUCUAGCUUCCCACCUUUAUUUGUAACUCCUUUCUCUGACUCUCAGAAACACGGCCCUAAUAUUUUAAUAAUACAUUAUUUCUAAAUCCUUGGAUACAUAGAAGUGGUUUAGAAAGUCUACUCAUCUUUCCAUACAUUCAUUUUCAAAAAUGUCCAUAUCUAAAUAAAACAUUCUCACUCUGUCUCCUAAAAAUACACAACCAAAGUAUUAUCCAGUUACAGCAUCUGUCUCCAAGUCCAGGACUUCUGGAUAAUAUGAAAUCUUACUUCAUUUUGGAUGUAGUUCUUUGUGGUUAGACAAAACUAUGGCUAUAGCAAAUUUAUCAAUCACCCACACAUCCAAUACACAAUAAAGAGAAGAACAAGAAUGACUUCAAUAAAAAAUGUCAAUUACAAAGAGAAUUGAGAAAACACGCACACGUGUGCGUGCGCGCGCACACACACACACACAGGACAUUAGUACAUACAAGACGUAAUCCCCUAGGAUGGGUAUGUGACUUGGGAUGAGAACAUGACUUAAACGAUCCAAUCAGUCAGGGUGAAUCUUGAGCUUCUGACUUAGAGAUGCUGAUACUGAGGAUAUUCUUUCUUUCUUUCAGCAUUAUGGUCUGAUAAUGCUCUGACAGUGGGGGAGGUCAAGCAAUCUGGCAGCCUCCAGUUUUCAUCUCUGGGAGACUCUUCUCUGUUCAUUGACCUCCAUAGCCAUAUCUAGAGAAGUUUCCCUUCCCAGGGGCUGCAUAACUUUAGCAUCCCCUUUUCCUUUUCUGUGUGUGUAACUUUACAGAGCCUGAGAUUGCCUUAGGGCUUGAGCAGACAUGGACUGUGGUUGUCCAGGAUUGGGAUUUCUUUAGCAAUAUAGCUGAUAUAGUUUGGCUGUGUCCCCACCCAAAUCUGAUCUUGAAUUAUAGUUCCCAUAAUCCCCAUGUGUUAUGGGAGGGACUAGGUGGAGAUAACUGAAUAAUGGGGGGCAGUUCCCCCAUCCUGUUGUGGUGACAGUGAGUUAGUUCUCACGAGUUCCGAUGGUUUUAUAAGGGGCUUCCCCCUUUGCUGGGCACUCAUUUUUCUUCUCUCUGCUGCCAUGUGAAGAAGGACAUGUUUGCCUCCCCUUCUGCCAUGAUUGUAAGUUUCCUGAGGCCUCCACCCAUGAGGAACUGUGAGUGCAUUAAAACUCUUUCCUUUGGCCAGGGGCGGUGGCUCACGCCUGUAAUCCCAGCACUUUGGGGGGCCAAGGCGGGUGGAUCAUGAGGUCAGGAGAUCGAGACCAUCCUGGCUAACACGGUGAAACCCCAUCUCUACUAAAAAUACAAAAACGUUAGCCAGAUGUGGUGGCGGGUGCCUGAAGUCCCAGCUACUCAGGAGGCUGAGGCAGGAGAAUGGCGUGAACCUGGGAGGUGGGGCUUGCAGUGAGCCAAGAUUGCGCCACUGCACUCCAGCCUGGGCGACACAGAGAGACUCCGUCUCAAAAAAAAAAAAAAAAAAAGCAAAAAACUCUUUCCUUUAUAAAUCACCCAGUCUUGGGUAUGUCUUCAUAGCAGCGUGAAAACAGACUAAUACAAUAGCUUUUUACAAAACUUAAUUAUCAUCAGUAUAUUUGACAAAUCACUUCCACGGGCUGGAAACCAUAGACAGAAAGCCUGUCUCUGCUCAUUCUAUUUGAGACAGGAAUUUCCACUGUCUAAAAACAGGCCUCUGUUAUAUCAUCAUCCCGUCAGGCUUUAGUGUAAUUGCCACUUUUAUCUUGGCUCUUCUUCUGGAAGUUUCUGACAAUAACUUGGAGUAUAAUGAUUUGCUCCCUGCCCUCAGGUUCUGAUACGGUUUGAAUGUUUUGUUCCCUCCAAAUUUCAUGUUGAAAUACGAUCCUUAAUGUUGGUGGUGGAGCCUAGUAGCAGGUGUUUGGGUCAUGGGGGUGGAUUCCUCAUGAAUGGCUUGGUGCCUUCCUCGUGGUAAUGAGUGAGUUCUCACUCUGAGUUUAUGGGAGAUCUGGUUGUUUAAAAGAAUGUGGCACUUUCCCCCACCCCCUGCUUGCUUCCUGUCUCACCAUGUGAAACACUGGUUCCCCUUUGCCUUCUGCCAUGACUGUGAGCUUCCUGACACUCUCACCAGAGGCAGAUGCUGGCACCAUGCUUCCUGUACAGCCUGCAGAAAAUGUGAGCCAAAAGAAAUGUGUUUUCUUUAUAAAUUACCCAGCCUCAGGUAUUCCUUUAUAGCAAUGCAGAAGAGACUAAUACAGGUUCUAUCACAACUGUACUUGUUUGCUUUGUCAGAUGGAGACUUUUCAGUAGGAAGUAUUUGGGAGUAGCCUGAAGGGUUAGUGUUGUCUGUUGCACCCAUCUUACCUCCUGUUUUUACAUGUAUGAACCUUAACUUGGAGUGGAGUAUUCAGUCUUUGCAACACCACUAGAUUCUAGUCAUUUUGGAUUGCAGUUCAUACUCAGAGAGGGUCUUCCUAAGUAAGGCCAUAUUUUUUCCUUCUCUGCUUUUAGAUAGGCCACUUCAUCUUAAGAUUGUCUCUUUAUUAUAGGACAUUACUGUAAUCCAAAAUCCUGAAUUUUUCCUACCAUUUCCCCUGAUAUACCUUGCAGACAUAUGGCCUGAGUCUCAACAGGCUUUUCACCUAGUUAUCUCUGCUCAGACAAGUCUAUGUUUUAGAGUUUAUAUUUAAUUGCAUCCCACUCCUGGUACCAAAUUCUGUAUCAGUUAGAGAAUUCUUUGGCUGCAAGAAACAGAAAAUCUGGUUCAAAUUGGCUUAAAUGAUAAAGAAAUGUAUUUGCUUUUAUGAAUCGAAGUUCAGAGAUAAAGCAAGCUUAAGAGAAAUCCUACUUUUGAAUGGAAUUCAUUUACCUGCACCUUUGUCAUGUCAGCUUCAUCCUAUUUUCAUCCUGGUGGCAAAAUGACUCCAAAAGUUUUUGUUUUACAUCCUCAUCCUCUGGUUCUGAGAGGAAAGGCAGAACAACAACAACAAAAAAACUUGAAUACCAACAUUACACACCAGAAUACCAGUCUUGAGAUUUACCCUGAUUAAACUAUUUAGGUUACAUGGCCACCCUAAACCAAUGAGAAGUUGAAUAUCUUUGGUAUGAGCCAACCAGACCCAUUCCAUAGGUAGAGUGUAGGAAUGGUAGAUACCUAAUUGAAAACAAAGUACUAUUAGAAAGGAAAAUGUGUACUUUGGUUGUCAACUAUCAGCAUUCAUUAAUCAAUGUUAUCAGGCUUUUAAAAUAGUCUUAUAUUAUUAUCAUUUGAAAAAAUAACAUUAAUCUGUAUCUGAAAUUAUUUUAUUUAUAUGUCUCUUUUUGAAGAAUCUAAAGCUCCAUGAGAACAGAAAUUUUCCCUGUCUUAUUCAUUUCACUUGUAAGACAAUGCCUGACAUUCAAUAAAUAUUUUCUUAGUGAAUGCAUGAAUGAAUGAAUCUUGUUUAUCCUGAAUCUCUGAGACCUUCCACCAUAAAGUCCC
rnacentral:lncRNA from 1 species